rnacentral:misc_RNA from 1 species
GUGAAUCAUCGAAUUUUUGAACGCAAAUUGCGCUUCCUAGCGUCCCGGGAAGUAUGCCUGUUUGAGGGUCAGUUUUAAUAACAAAUCGGUGUAGUUACAAAUUGGGACUGCGCCGGAGGUUGGGCUAUCUUAACAGUGUUGGGUAAGAUGCUUAAAAUUGACCUGUAUUGCGCAUUCUUAAACGUACAUAGAUGUUUUUUAUUCGUCUAUUCUUAAUGCCAAAAUCUUAUUAGAUGCGAUCACAUCGUGUGGCUUCGUGUCCAUAAAAUGUUCAUGAUUUGACCUC